rnacentral:rRNA from 1 species
GAGUUUGAUCCUGGCUCAGGACGAACGCUGGCGGCGCGCCUAACACAUGCAAGUCGAACGAGCGAGAGAGAGCUCGCUUUCUCAAGCGAGUGGCGAACGGGUGAGUAACGCGUGAGGAACCUGCCUCAAAGAGGGGGACAACAGUUGGAAACGACUGCUAAUACCGCAUAAGCCCACAGCUCGGCAUCGAGCAGAGGGAAAAGGAGCAAUCCGCUUUGAGAUGGCCUCGCGUCCGAUUAGCUAGUUGGUGAGGUAAUGGCCCACCAAGGCGACGAUCGGUAGCCGGACUGAGAGGUUGAACGGCCACAUUGGGACUGAGACACGGCCCAUACUCCUACGGGAGGCAGCAGUGGGGAAUAUUGCACAAUGGGGGAAACCCUGAUGCAGCGACGCCGCGUGGAGGAAGAAGGUCUUCGGAUUGUAAACUCCUGUUGUUGAGGAAGAUAAUGACGGUACUCAACAAGGAAGUGACGGCUAACUACGUGCCAGCAGCCGCGGUAAAACGUAGGUCACAAGCGUUGUCCGGAAUUACUGGGUGUAAAGGGAGCGCAGGCGGGAAGACAUGUUGGAAGUGAAAUCUAUGGGCUCAACCCAUAAACUGCUUUCAAAACUGUUUUUCUUGAGUAGUGCAGAGGUANGCGGAAUUCCCGGUGUAGCGGUGGAAUGCGUAGAUAUCGGGAGGAACACCAGUGGCGAAGGCGGCCUACUGGGCACCAACUGACGCUGAGGCUCGAAAGUGUGGGUAGCAAACAGGAUUAGAUACCCUGGUAGUCCACACCGUAAACGAUGAUUACUAGGUGUUGGAGGAUUGACCCCUUCAGUGCCGCAGUUAACACAAUAAGUAAUCCACCUGGGGAGUACGACCGCAAGGUUGAAACUCAAAGGAAUUGACGGGGGCCCGCACAAGCAGUGGAGUAUGUGGUUUAAUUCGACGCAACGCGAAGAACCUUACCAAGUCUUGACAUCCUGCGACGCACAUAGAAAUAUGUGUUUCCUUCGGGACGCAGAGACAGGUGGUGCAUGGUUGUCGUCAGCUCGUGUCGUGAGAUGUUGGGUUAAGUCCCGCAACGAGCGCAACCCUUACUGUCAGUUACUACGCAAGAGGACUCUGGCAGGACUGCCGUUGACAAAACGGAGGAAGGUGGGGAUGACGUCAAAUCAUCAUGCCCUUUAUGACUUGGGCUACACACGUACUACAAUGGCGUUAAACAAAGAGAAGCAAGACCGCGAGGUGGAGCAAAACUCAGAAACAACGUCCCAGUUCGGACUGCAGGCUGCAACUCGCCUGCACGAAGUCGGAAUUGCUAGUAAUCGUGGAUCAGCAUGCCACGGUGAAUACGUUCCCGGGCCUUGUACACACCGCCCGUC